rnacentral:rRNA from 1 species
AGGGUUCGAGUUCUGGCUCAGGAUGAACGCUGGCGGCGUGCUUAACACAUGCAAGUCGAACGGAGUUAUUGAGAAGCUGCUUUUGAUAAACUUAGUGGCGGACGGGUGAGUAACGCGUGGGUAACCUGCCUUAUACCGGGGGAUAACGUUUGGAAACGAACGCUAAUACCGCAUAAGCGCACGGGCUCGCAUGAGUCUGUGUGAAAAACUCCGGUGGUAUAAGAUGGACCCGCGUCUGAUUAGAUAGUUGGUGAGGUAACGGCCCACCAAGUCAACGAUCAGUAGCCGGCCUGAGAGGGUGAACGGCCACAUUGGGACUGAGACACGGCCCAAACUCCUACGGGAGGCAGCAGUGGGGAAUAUUGCACAAUGGGGGGAAACCCUGAUGCAAGCGACGCCGCGUGAGUGAAGAAGUAUUUCGGUAUGUAAAGCUCUAUCAGCAGGGAAGAAAAUGACGGUACCUGAGUAAGAAGCCCCGGCUAACUACGUGCCAGCCGCUGC